rnacentral:rRNA from 1 species
UGGGGAAUAUUGGGCAAUGGGCGAAAGCCUGACCCAGCAACGCCGCGUGAGUGAUGAAGGCCUUCGGGUUGUAAAACUCUUUGGACAGGGACGAAGAAAGUGACGGUACCUGUAGAACAAGCCACGGCUAACUACGUGCCAGCAGCCGCGGUAAUACGUAGGUGGCGAGCGUUAUCCGGAUUUACUGGGCGUAAAGGGUGCGUAGGUGGUCUUUCAAGUCGGUGGUUAAAGGCUACGGCUCAACCGUAGUUAGCCUCCGAAACUGGAAGACUUGAGUGCAGGAGAGGAAAGUGGAAUUCCCAGUGUAGCGGUGAAAUGCGUAGAUAUUGGGAGGAACACCAGUAGCGAAGGCGGCUUUCUGGACUGCAACUGACACUGAGGCACGAAAGCGUGGGUAGCAAACAGG